GGGCCCGUGGUCCAAACCCGAUAAGACGCUCGGCUACGGACCGAGAAAUGCAGGUGCAAAUCCCGUCGGGCCCG
rfam:Candidate divison MSBL1 archaeon SCGC-AAA259I09 AAA259I09_Contig_141, whole genome shotgun sequence.